AUUGAACGCUGGCGGCAGGCCUAACACAUGCAAGUCGAACGAGUGGCGGACGGGUGAGUAAUGUCUGGGAAACUGCCUGAUGGAGGGGGAUCACUACUGGAAACGGUAGCUAAUCCCGCAUACCAUCAGAUGUGCCCAGAUGGGAUUAGCUUGUUGUCGGGGUAACGGCGCACCAAGGCGACGAUCCCUAGCGGGUCUGAGAGGAUGAACAGCCACACUGUAACGGAGACACGGUCCAGACUCCUACGGGAGGCAGCAGGGGGGAAUAUGGCACAAUGGGCGCAAGCCUGAUGCAGCCAUGCCGCGUGUAUGAAGAAGGCCUUCGGGUUGUAAAGUACUUUCAGCGGGGAGGCGUUACCCGCAGAAGAAGCACCGGCUAACUCCGUGCCAGCAGCCGCGGUAAUUC
rnacentral:rRNA from 1 species